CUCUUUCCAAGUCCCGCCCCUCGGCCCUCCCCCGACUUCGGCCCAGCCUCUUUUCCCUCAGCUCUUCCGGCUUUCUCCCUUUAGCCCCACCCAUUUUCUCCUCAUUCCACCGGAAUUAAGAAAUCCUUGUGCCAAUCCGGGUGUGUCGUCCUGGCUGAUAACUCUUGGUCCGGAAGGUCUGAGGAACCAUUGUAAAUCCUCGUUAUUUUACCAAGGCUUUGACUGGAAAGGCCUAUUUGAGAGUCCUGCAUAGACUCAGAUAUGACCAUACACCUUUAAGGAACUAAGACUGACUUUAUGAAACAUGGAGCCAUAAAGCCAGUUGGAAAUGUUGGCCUGAAACUUAGCUUAUAGAGUUUCCAGCAGCCUUACCAGCCAGCAUCACUGCAAUAAGUUCAAGCCAACAAAUGAUCCUUUCUACUCAAGAAGAUUCACCUUGGAUUCAGCUGCUUAUGCCUUUCAUAACUCCACUAUACCUUCCUGACUUAUGUAACUUAAUGUUGACCCAUAGGUAAGGAUAUCUCUAUGUUCCUACCCAGCAGGAAGAAGCUACAGAAGAUGAGAUCUUCCACUUUAAAGAUUUAAGGAUCAAAAUUAUUCAGGGGGGUAUGAUGAGGGAGCAUAAGGCAAGCUAAGGGCAAAGCAAAAGCUAACAACACUCUCCCCUCCACAGUGAUGUGGGGAACAAAGACAAGAAGGAAAUGGCAAGUAAAAUUAAAUUUCUUAAAACCUGGUGCCCUUGACAAAUACUUGAGGCAAAGGCAAAUACAAGGUAUAACGUUUCUCCAGGACCACUCUAUUGUUGUAGUGUUAAUGACUUGCCAGAGGGUAAGGCAAGGCCUCUGGUAUCUUAGGAGCCCUCUUUAAUAUAUCUGUCCUUCUGGAAGCCUCCCUUUGUCUUACCUCCCCUGACUCCAGAGUAUAUAACCAGCCACUCUGCACAACCCCAGUGCAGCUUCUCCUGCCCAUGGAUCCUAUCCCUGUGCUUUAAUAAAAUCACCUUUUUGCACCAAAGAUGUCUUCAAGAAUUCUUUCUUGGCCAUUGACUCUGAGCCCCACCAUCAUUCCAAAACUCCAUCAGUAUGUUCUUUAUUAAACUAGAUGUUAAAAUUAGAAAGCUGUAUAUUCCGGGCCCGUCUUAAAGUCUGGUGCUUGUGGGUAGCCCCAUGGCACAGGAAGAACAACUGUUAGUGUACUCAGUUUGAUUAAUAAGUUUAUGUGGGACAGCUAAUGGGAGUAUAAAGACUAAACCAUAUGAAACUAAUCAUUGUUUGGCUGCUUUUUGAUGAGGUUUUUGAAACGGUGCUGUCGAGAAAGACCAUCAGAUGCCAAAUAGAAGCGAGCUAAGAUUUUAUUCACAGCCGGUCCAAACCUGAUCUCCUGAUCUUAAGGAGAAAAGUGCAGAGAAUGGCCCUGAACAAAGGUAGCAGUGAGCUUAUAUGGAUUUUAGUAAGUCAGAAUACAUCAUAAUUUAGUUAACCAGUUACAAUUUACAGCAUUUCAUGGUAGCCAAUUGUGACAUACAGAUGUAAGUUUUGGCGGGAACCUAUCAAUUUAAAGGUCUUUGUCCUGAGGGUUUAAAAUGACCAAUCAUAGACAC